UAUGCUCUCUUCAAAGCCACCAGACUCCAUUCACAAAACAGUCAUUUUACCUCUCAGAACACGGGACUUGCAGGUCUACCUCUGCAUCGACCGGUUAGUUAGUCUGUGUUAGUGUGUGACUUUCUGAUCUGAACUAACGUGGCGUCCACAGCGGUACGUCGCUUAGCUUCCUGCCAGCUCUCCUGUCUGUUUCUCUAAACUGGGAGCACGCCGACCGCCACCUAACUUACCAUAGGUAAUACACAUUGAAUGGAUAAGGAUAUAUAUAUUUAGAAAUGUUAUAUUUUAUUAUGGAGAGGUGUGGCCCUCAGUUUUGAUUGAAACAUGUUUAG